UACAGAGACUGCAAGCGUUAUUCGGAUUCAUUGGGCGUAAAGGGUGCGUAGGUGGCCAGGUAAGUCGGAUGUGAAAUCCCGGGGCUCAACCCCGGAACUGCACUCGAUACUGCUUGGCUGGAGUACUGGAGAGGAGAUUGGAAUUUACGGUGUAGCAGUGAAAUGCGUAGAUAUCGUAAGGAAGACCAGUGGCGAAGGCGGAUCUCUGGACAGUUACUGACACUGAGGCACGAAGGCCAGGGGAGCAAACGGG
rnacentral:rRNA from 1 species